rnacentral:tRNA from 1 species
GGCUUCAUAGUCUAGUUGUUAGCACGUCUGCUUUACAGGUAGAAAAUCCUGGGUUCGCGCUCCAGGUGGAGCCA